rnacentral:rRNA from 1 species
CCUACGGGUGGCAGCAGUGGGGAAUAUUGCACAAUGGGGGGAACCCUGAUGCAGCGACGCCGCGUGGGUGAAGAAGUCCUUCGUGACGUAAAGCCCUAUCAGCAGGGAAGAAAAUGACGGUACCUGACUAAGAAGCCACGGCUAACUACGUGCCAGCAGCCGAGGGAAUACGUAGGGGGCAAGCGUUAUCCGGAUUUACUGGGUGGAAAGGGAGCGUAGACGGCGGCGCAAGUCCGGCGUGAAAGCCCACGGGUCCACCGGGGGACUGCUCUGGAAACUGGGCGGCUUGAGUGCGGGAGGGGCAGGCGGAAUGCCUAGUGUAGCGGUGAAAUGCGUAGAUAUUAGGAGGAACACCGGCGGCGAAGGCGGCCUGCUGGACCGUAACUGACGUUGAGGCUCGAAAGCGUGGGGAGCAAACAGGAUUAGAUACCCCGGUAGUC